rnacentral:rRNA from 1 species
UAGAGUUUGAUCCUGGCUCAGAAUGAACGCUACUAGUAUGCUUAACACAUGCAAGUUUAACGGAACUUUGGUUUCGUAGCGAACGGGUGAGUAAAUGCAGAAUUUUACUUUUCAGUUCAGAACAAAAAGUUUUUUAAAACUUAAAUACUGAAUAUUUUUAAAGGUGAAUUUUUCCGCUGAAAAAUAAAUCUGCUUAAGAUUAGGUUGUUGGUAAUUUAAAAGCUUACCAAGCCUACGAUCUUUAGUUGGUCUUAGAGGACGAUCAACCACACUAGAACUGAAACAAGGUCUAGGCUGACUUGUCGGCCAGCAGUGAGGAAUAUUGGACAAUGAACGAAAGUUUGAUCCAGCAAUACUAACUGAGUGAUGACGGCUUAUUUAAGUUGUAAAGCUCUUUCAUCAAAGAAGAUAAUGACAUUAUUUGAUGUAAUUAGUUCUGGCUAAUACUCGUGCCAGCAGCCGCGGUAAUACGGGAAGAGCAAGCGUUAUUCGGCAUGACUGGGCGUAAAGAGUCCGUAGAUGGUAAAGCAAGUUUUUUGUUAAAUUUUAAAACUUAAUUUUAAUUAAGCAAUAAAUACUGUUUUACUUUAGAGUUUAAUGAGAAAAGUAGAAUUUUAGACGAUUAGGGGUGAAAUCCGUAGAUAUCUAAAGGAAUGCCAACAGCGAAGGCAGCUUUUUACUACAAACUGACGUUGAGGGACGAAAGUGUGGGUAGCAAACAGGAUUAGAGACCCUGGUAGUCCACACUGUCAAUUCUGAGUGCUGUAAUUUUGAUAUAGUGAUUUAUAUUUAGAUUUUUAAGCUAACGCAAUAAGCACUCCGCCUGAAGAGUACGGUCGCAAGGCUGGAACUCAAAGGAAUUGACGGGGGUCUAACACUAGUGGUGGAGUAUGUGAUUUAAUGCGAUAAUCCGCGCAAAACCUUACCAAUUCUUGACAUAAUUUAUUGGUGAGUUUUAUUUAUUUUGUAUAAACGAAAUAAUUAAGAUUUAUCGUUUUAUUACAGGUGUUGCACGACUGUCGUCAGCUCGUGUCGUGAGAUGUUGGGUUAAGUCCUAGAACGAGUGUAACUCUUACUUUUUUUUUCGAGCAGAUAGGUCUUUUAUUUUAAUUUUCUAUUUUUCGCUUUAAAAGUACAGUCAAUGAUAAAUUGAAGGAAGGUAAGAAUAAAGUCAAGUCAAUGUGACCCUGAUGAAUUGGGCUAUACAUGUGCUACAAUGGAAACCACAAAAGGUAACAAAAAAUAAAAUUUUUGGUUAAUCAAAAAAGUUUUCCAAGUUCGGAUUGUAAACUGCAACUCGUUUACAUGAAGCUGGAAUCACUAGUAAUCGCAAAUCAGCACGUUGCAGUGAACACGUAACUUGGCCUUGUACACACCGCCCGUCACUUGCAAAGAAUUAGUUUCGCUUGAAGGUUUUCAUAAAGCCCAUUGAGAGAUUAAUAAUUUGGAUGAAGUCGUAACAAGGUAACCA